AGUCGUGCGCGAAUAGACGACAAACCCUAGUAGAGCGGCGCACGGGUGCGUAACACGUGGAUAAUCUGCCUGGAUGCCUGGGAUAACCAGUCGAAAGAUUGGCUAAUACCGGAUAAGCCCACGGUUUCUUCGGAGACUGAGGGAAAAGGUGGCCUCUGUAAACAAGCUAUCACAACCAGAUGAGUCCGCGGCCCAUCAGCUAGUUGGCGGGGUAAUGGCCCACCAAGGCGACGACGGGUAGCUGGUCUGAGAGGACGAUCAGCCACACUGGAACUGAGACACGGUCCAGACUCCUACGGGAGGCAGCAGUGGGGAAUUUUGCGCAAUGGGCGAAAGCCUGACGCAGCAACGCCGCGUGUGUGAUGAAGGUCUUUGGAUUGUAAAGCACUUUCGACCGGGACGAAACCGUAAAGCCUAAUACGCUUUGCCUUGACGGUACCGGGAGAAGAAGCACCGGCUAACUCUGUGCCAGCAGCCGCGGUAAUACAGAGGGUGCAAGCGUUGUUCGGAAUUAUUGGGCGUAAAGCGCGUGUAGGCGGCUUUGCAAGUCGGGUGUGAAAGCCCUCAGCUCAACUGAGGAAGUGCGCCCGAAACUGCAGAGCUUGAGUGCCGGAGAGGGUGGCGGAAUUCCCCAAGUAGAGGUGAAAUUCGUAGAUAUGGGGAGGAACACCGGUGGCGAAGGCGGCCACCUGGACGGUAACUGACGCUGAGACGCGAAAGCGUGGGUAGCAAACAGGAUUAGAUACCCUGGUAGUCCACGCCGUAAACGAUGAGAACUAGGUGUCGUGGGAGUUGACCCC
rnacentral:rRNA from 1 species